AAUUUUUGACAAUGGGCGCAAGCCUGAUCCAGCCAUGCCGCGUGAGUGAAGAAGGCCUUCGGGUUAUAAAGCUCUUUCGGACGGAAAGAAAUCGCGCAGGCUAAUACCCUGCGCGGAUGACGGUACCUUCUUCAGAAGCAACGGCUAACUACUUGCCAGCAGCCGCUGUAAUACUUAGGGCGCGGGCGUUAAGCGGAAUUACUGGGCGUAAUGCGUGCGCAGGCGGUUGAUUAAGACAGGCGUGAAAUCCCCGGGCUUAACCUGGGAACUGCGCUUGUGACUGGUCAGCUAGAGUACGGCAGAGGGGGGUGGAAUUCCACGUGUAGCAGUGAAAUGCGUAGAGAUGUGGAGGAACACCGAUGGCGAAGGCAGCCCCCUGGGCCGAUACUGACGCUCAUGCACGAAAGCGUGGGUAGCAAACAGG
rnacentral:rRNA from 1 species